CAGAGUUGCAAAGCUCACCAAAAACCAUUGUGAACCUUACCUCCAACCGUUGCUUCGGCGGGCGGGCCACAGCGCCCCCCCGGCCCCCCACGCGGGCGCCCGCCGGAGGAUACCCAAACUCUUGAUACUUUAUGGCCUCUCUGAGUCUUCUGUACUGAAUAAGUCA
rnacentral:misc_RNA from 1 species